rnacentral:rRNA from 1 species
GACGAACGCUGGCGGCGUGCUUAACACAUGCAAGUCGAACGGAAAGGCCCUGCUUUUGUGGGGUGCUCGAGUGGCGAACGGGUGAGUAACACGUGAGUAACCUGCCCUUGACUUUGGGAUAACUUCAGGAAACUGGGGCUAAUACCGGAUAGGAGCUCCUGCUGCAUGGUGGGGGCUGGAAAGUUUCGGCGGCUGGGGAUGGACUCGCGGCUUAUCAGCUUUUUGGUGGGGUAGUGGCCUACCAAGGCUUUGACGGGUAGCCGGCCUGAGAGGGUGACCGGCCACAGUGGGACUGAGGUAGGACCCAGACUGCUACGGGAGGCAUCAGUGGAAGAUUGUGCACGAAGGGCGGAAUCCGGAAGCAGCGACGCCGCGUGCGGGAGGACGGCCGUAGGGUUAGAAACCGCUUUCGCCUGUGACGAAGCGUGAGUGACGGUAAUGGAUAAAGAAGCACCGGCUAACUACGUG